CCUACGGGGUGCUGCAGUGGGGAAUAUUGCGCAAUGGGCGAAAGCCUGACGCAGCGACGCCGCGUGAGGGAUGAAGGUCUUCGGAUCGUAACCCUCUGUCAGCAGGGAAGAACGGUCACUGUGCUAAUCAGCAGUGAAUUGACGGUACCUGCAAAGGAAGCACCGGCUAACUCCGUGCCAGCAGCCGCGGUAAUACGGAGGGUGCGAGCGUUAAUCGGAAUUACUUGGCGUAAAGCGCUCGUAGGCGGUAUGUCAAGUCAAGGGUGAAAUCCCCGCGCUCAACGUGGGAACUGCCUUUGAAACUGGCAAACUGGAGUGUGUGAGAGGAUAGUGGAAUUCCAGGUGUAGGAGUGAAAUCCGUAGAUAUCUGGAGGAACAUCAGUGGCGAAGGCGACUAUCUGGCACAUAACUGACGCUGAGGAGCGAAAGCGUGGGUAGCAAACAGGAUGAGAUACCCUUGUAGUC
rnacentral:rRNA from 1 species